rnacentral:lncRNA from 1 species
CAAGAACAAAGAGAAAAAAGAAGAGAACAAACCCUAGUGAGCAAAAAUUCAAGGGAAAAUUAGUGGAUUUCAAGGAAUUAAGCAAGUAAAGGUAAAAUUUCUUGAUUAUAGCUUGUGAUCUAUCUUUCCUAUGCAUUCUUUUUCAUUUUCCAUGGUUGAGAAUCAAGUUUGCAUGAAGAUACCUUUGCUGGCCGGACAUGGGGGGAGGGGUUUUGAUCUUGGAUUUAGCUAGAUUUCAUGUUAUUCUAGUGUUUUUAGUUGUUUGGUGAUGUUUAGCAUGGAAAACAAGCAAGAAAUUUCAUGCCCUUCACCCACACCCAUUGGCUGAAUUUUUCAAGAGAGAAAUUGGAAAAUGGACUUUGAUGAAUUUCAUGUUAUUUAGGUAUUUUUAGUUGUUUUAUGAUGUAAAGUGUAAAAAUCAAGCAUGAAAAACCACAUAUUAUUCAUGAACCCUCCAUGGCUGAAU